GAGUCAUCUGCACUGGCUAUUGCUUGGUGAUGCAGUAGUGUAAGUGGCAGCAGGAGAUGGGAUCUGUCUGAAACCUGACAGAUCUGGCUUUAGUCUGUUCCUAGACCUCCUACACGAUCUCCCAAGUGUUUACUGUCCUCGAGGCCUACUCCUCACGCUCCUCCCAUCAAAAAUCCUUCAUCUCAAACAGACCACACGCACAACACUAUUGUGAGUGUGCAUCAUCACAAAAUUAAUGCUAAAAUCUUACAAAUACUUUGGCGUACUGAGCAAUAAGCAAAUUAAAUUAAAUUAGUUUAAAGAAGUGGGCUUACUCUACUGAGGUUCUGUGAUUGGCUGUCUGAUCAUUAAUCUGGGCCUAAACAACAUGGCGGCAAUCCUGACCGUGGAGGCAGUGAACCCAUGGGAGAAAUGACUGUAGCGCACAAAAGUGGAGAUAUCGUAUUCUUGUCAUGUGACGUGAACGGGACACCACAUUACAACCAAUGGCAGUAUGAGCUUGUGAAUACUGGCCAGUUUUUUUAUCAGAGGGCUUCCAGCGGAGCUGCAGCACAGCCUUCCCAGGAGAGGAGGCUACAGGAAGUCGUAGGAUGAUAAAACUGGGACAUUACUAAGCCAGCCCAGGACCCCGGGGUUCAUUACUCCCCCCUUCAGUCUCACAGCUUCACACAGCACCACCUAAUAUUCACACAUUCUGCCAAGCGCCGGGAGUGGCUGUAGAGAGGAGGACAUAAGAAUUAAACCAGCUGCCUCCCCAAG